rnacentral:rRNA from 1 species
GACGAACGCUGGCGGCGUGCUUAACACAUGCAAGUCGAACGGAAAGGCCCUGCUUUUGUGGGUUUCUCGAUUGGCGAACGGGUGAGUAACACGUGUGUAACCUCUCCUUGACUUUGGGAUAACUUCAGGAAACUGGGGCUAAUACCGCAUAUGAUCUCCUGCUCCACGGUGUGGGUUGGAAAGUUUCGGCUGUUGGGGAUGGACUCGCGGCUUAUCAGCUUGUUUGUGGGGUAGUGGCUUACCAAGGUUUUGACGGGUAGCCGGCCUGAGAGGGUGACCGGCCACAUUGGGACUGAGGUACGGCCCAGACUCCUACGGGAGGCAGCAGUGGGGAGUAUUGCACAAUGGGCGGAAGCCUGAUGCAGCAACGCCGCGUGCGGGAUGACGGCCUUCGGGUUGUAAACCGCUUUCGCCUGUGACGAAGCGUGAGUGACGGUAAUGGGUAAGGAAGCACCGGCUAACUACGUG